rnacentral:misc_RNA from 1 species
AAGUCGUAACAAGGUUUCCGUAGGUGAACCUGCGGAAGGAUCAUUAGUGAAAUUUCAAAGGGGCCCCGAGGGGUGGGGUGUGUGCUGUGCUGGCGCUUUUGUUGCGCACGUGCACGCCCCCCUGCCUCUUGCCGGUUCACUUCCACACACACGCACCUGUGCACGUUUUGCUUGUCGGGGACGGGGGAACCUGGCCUCGACAAGCGCACUCACACACCAGCCCAGUUUUUGUUUAUCGUCGGAUGUGAUGUCGUGUAAAUAGCGAAAAGUCAAUACAACUUUUAACAACGGAUCUCUUGGUUCUC